UCGGAAGAGUCCAGUUCAGCUCCCAACUCUUACACAUUUCAUUUUCGCCCCAAUCGCAUUUUCGAGGGUUUUCUUCUUCUCCUUUUCGCCAUUGACGCCGAAUCUGUUUGACAUUUAGGGUUCUGAAGUUUCUGCGUCUGGCUCUGGCGGAUAUUGAUUUGGAGGGGGAAAGAAACGCAGGGUUAGGGUUUUGUUGUAAUCGUUGGUUCUUGUUGGAAAAAAAGAGAGGGUAUAUUUUGGA